rnacentral:lncRNA from 1 species
GGGAGUGACAGUGGACAUCUUAGAUCAGACUAUUAUUUGGGUUCUUUUUGGUUAGCUGUAUAUUGCUUGUAUCAUCACUCUAGAGCUUGAUCAUAGGAUGAAUACCAUAUACACCCAAAGGCCAUGGAUAGCACACAUGUUGAUAGAUAAUGGUGAGCCGACUUGGUUAAAAAACUGAAAAAGGAUUACAAAAUCCUCAUUGAGUUUCAUGGUAAAGUUUUGGUGGGCUAUGGUUAGACUUAGAUUGAUACUAAUGGUAGUG